CAUGCAUGUGGUAGUGGGCUGUUGGUGAUACGCCGUGCAAGAUAUUGAAAAACUUUGCCAUUUGGUUGAGUAUAAUUUAUUAUUUUGAAAAUCUGAAUAAGUAGACCACUUUGAUCUAGUACCCAGCAUUACGAACUUGUGUGAGCCACUGGUUUGAGUGGUUCAACUAUAGAAAUCAUCUAAGUUAAUGACUUAUUAGUUCAACCAAGGUUCUGUGUCUCAACAGGAUGGGGGAGUCCCGACAGUCCAUUUCUAUUCCCGAGAGUAAACGAGAUCGAAAUGGAUCGGGAUUUCGAAAUCUAUCCAUAUGGGGAGAGAAGAGAAAGAGGAAAGAGGAAAGAAGGAAAGGAAAGAUGAAGAAAAAGUGAAAGGAACGAAAAAAAGAAAGAGAAAAAUAAAAUAAAUGAAAUAAAAAAAAUAAAGAAAAAAAAAGUGGAAGAAAAAGAAAGAAAAAAAAAAGAAAGAAAAGAAGAAGAGGAG
rnacentral:lncRNA from 1 species